AUUGAACGCUGGCGGCAGGCUUAACACAUGCAAGUCGAGCGAGCGGCGGACGGGUGAGUAAUGUCUGGGAAACUGCCUGAUGGAGGGGGAUAACUACUGGAAACGGUAGCUAAUACCGCAUACCAUCAGAUGUGCCCCGCUGGGAUUAGCUAGUAGGUGGGGUAAUGGCUCCCCGAGGCUACGAUCCCUAGCUGGUCUGCGAGGAUGACCCGCCACAAUGGAACUGAGACACGGUCCAGACUCCUACGGGAGGCAGAAGUGGGGAAGAUUGAACAAUGGGCGCAAGCCUGAUGCAGCCAUGCCGCGUGUGUGAAGAAGGCCUUAGGGUUGUAAAGCACUUUCAGCGAGGAGGCGUUACUCGCAGAAGAAGCACCGGCUAACUCCGUGCCAGCCGCCGCGGUAAUUC
rnacentral:rRNA from 1 species